rnacentral:tRNA from 3 species
GCCUAGGUAGCUCAGUUGGUAGAGCAUUCGCCUGAAGAGCGAAGGGUCGGCGGUUCGAGACCGCCCCUAGGCA